rnacentral:rRNA from 1 species
UACAGAGGGGGCAAGCGUUGUUCGGAAUUACUGGGCGUAAAGGGCGCGUAGGCGGCCCGCUAAGUCGGACGUGAAAUCCCCAGGCUCAACCUGGGAACUGCGUCCGAUACUGGAUGGCUUGAAUCCGGGAGAGGGAUGCAGAAUUCCAGGUGUAGCGGUGAAAUGCGUAGAUAUCUGGAGGAAUACCGGUGGCGAAGGCGGCAUCCUGGACCGGCAUUGACGCUGAGGAGCGAAAGCCAGGGGAGCAAACGGG